rnacentral:tRNA from 1 species
GGGGUUGUGGCUCAGCAGUAUAGCACUCGCCUCGCACGCGAGAGACCCUGGGUUCAAUCCUCAGCACCACA